rnacentral:rRNA from 1 species
GACGUAGGGGGCGAGCGUUGUCCGGAUUUAUUGGGCGUAAAGCGCGUGUAGGCGGCUUUGCAAGUCGGGUGUGAAAGCCCUCAGCUCAACUGAGGAAGUGCGCCCGAAACUGCAGAGCUUGAGUGCCGGAGAGGGUGGCAGAAUUCCCCAAGUAGAGGUGAAAUUCGUAGAUAUGGGGAGGAACACCGGUGGCGAAGGCGGCCG